rnacentral:lncRNA from 1 species
CAGUAACUAGGUAUAUGUAUUCCUAUUGUAGUUAAAAACAAACAAACAAAAACUACCCAGGUUUUGAAACUCUGGAGACGUGAGUCUCUCGGCUCCUAAGGGCUGAGAAAGACUGGCAGAUUCUGCUAGAAAUUCAGAGCGCCAAAAAGUCAAAAGCAAUGACCUUAAACACAGCAACUUCCCCUGUGCCACCAAUGUAUUUUGCCGUGUGUACAAGAACCAACAUUGAUUUAGUUUAAUAAUUUGUUUACCAAUUCUGAGCGUGCUUGGUCAGAAGAGUGAACACACUUCACGGAAGAUAAAUAACGGCUGCCCGGCUGCCAAAUGGAUUCGUUCACAAAGCAGAUGAAUUCUGCAAGGUCCUUGAGAGUACUGAUGGAAAAUUCUGAUUCCUAAUUGAUCAGUGUUGGUCUUCCUCCAUCACAGCUUGUAGCACUUAGGGAGGUUGGUCACGAAGCCCAGAAAGUCACAUGAGCUGCUUCACCAAGAAGGGAAAUGUGUUUUAAAGGCACAGGCUCCUUUCUGAACCCAAAGCGUGGGGGCUGCUGAAUUUCAGAGUGGAAUGGGAUCAGGCCUAGAGUUUGUUGGGCCCUCGAGGGGUCCACUCCCAGGGAUUCUGGUUUCUUUCUCCUGCGGUUUGUUAGUCUUUCCUCCGUUGCAGAAGGGCCAUCUCCGCAUCCUACUCAACACAGGUCCAAAUGGCACCCAACAGCGCACCAACGUUGGCCUCCGCCCCACUCAAGAUAAGACAUUAUCUACAAUAAAAUGAAGACUUCCAAACCUUCAUAGAACACUUCAUCCAUGUGACUUGGAAGGGCCAAUGGCUGCUAUCAAAAGGCUGAUUCCAUCGCAGGUCCAGGUCUGUAUUCAGACAGCGCUGAAGUGGCUUCUUGCUCAGGAGAACUAUUUGACCAAAGUGUGGCAUAAACAGACAUGUAGUAGACCACUUUUCACUGGAGGUAUUUUCUACAAUUUAAUGUUCUAGGCUGGAGAGUUGUUUUACACUAAUCUUAAUAUUAUAAAAUUAAUACCUGCUUAUGGUAAAAAAAAAAAAAAUUCAGAGCACAGAUGGGCAUCACCUGAAAAGUAGAAGUUAUUCUCCCCUCUUAAACACAGCCUGAUCUCUGAG